rnacentral:rRNA from 1 species
UGUGGUAGCAUAUUCACUAGGUUGUUACUAUGAAUUUUGUAUGAAUGAUUUAUCAAGAGAAAAACCGUCGUUAUAUCAAAGUUAGAAUUAACUUUUAUGUGAAAAGGGGUUAAUAUUCUAAAGGGUCGAUAAGACCCUGUAAAAUUUUCCAUCAGUUGUUAAUAAUUUAUUGAAUUUGUCUGUACUACGAUUCAAAAAUAAUUUUUUGUUAUGUUGGGGCGACAAAAUGAAAUAAUUUAUAUUAACUGUAAGAAGAGAAAUCAAUAAUUUAGUGGUUCGAUUGGUAUAGAUCCGCUCUUAACGAUUAAAAGAUAAAGUUAAACUAGGGUAUAACAGCGUUUUUUCUCUUGGUAGUUCAUA